rnacentral:rRNA from 1 species
GAAUAUAGUUAAUACCUAUAUUCCGUGACUUAACUUACAGAAUAAGGACCGGCUAACUCCGUGCCAGCAGCCGCGGUAAUACGGAGGGUCCAAGCGUUAAUCGGAAUUACUGGGCGUAAAGCGCGCGUAGGCGGUUUGUCAAGUUGGAUGUGAAAUCCCUGGGCUCAACCUAGGAACUGCAUUCAAAACUUAUAGACUAGAGUACGAUAGAGGAGAGUAGAAUUCCUGGUGUAGCGGUGAAAUGCGUAGAUAUCAGGAGGAAUACCAAUGGCGAAGGCAACUCUCUGGAUCGACACUGACGCUGAGGUGCGAAAGCGUGGGUAGCAAACAGGAUUAGAUACCCUGGUAGUCCACGCCGUAAACGAUGAGAACUAGCCGUUGGAUCUUAGAUUCAGUGGUACAGCUAACGCAUUAAGUUCUCCGCCUGGGGAGUACGGCCGCAAGGCUAAAACUCAAAUGAAUUGACGGGGGCCCGCACAAGCGGUGGAGCAUGUGGUUUAAUUCGAUGCAACGCGAAAAACCUUACCAACCCUUGACAUCUAGUGAAAUUUCUAGAGAUAGAUUUGUGCCUUCGGGAACACUAUGACAGGUGUUGCAUGGCUGUCGUCAGCUCGUGUCGUGAGAUGUAUGGUUAAGUCCAGUAACGAGCGCAACCCCUAUUCUUAUUUGCCAGCACUUCGGGUGGGAACUAUAAGGAGACCGCCGUGUAUAACACGGAGGAAGGCGGGGACGACGUCAAGUCAUCAUGGCCCUUACGGGUUGGGCUACACACGUGCUACAAUGGGAGAUACAGAUGGUUGCGAAAGCGCGAGCUGGAGCUAAUCCCAAAAAGUCUUCCUCAGUCCGGAAUGGAGUCUGCAACUCGACUCCAUGAAGCAGGAAUCGCUAGU